rnacentral:lncRNA from 1 species
GUGGCAGAAGUUAUAAGUUGCAUUGCUAUUUGAAUCUGCUUCACUGUGCAUAAUUACAUGCAGUUUCAAUUCUGAAUAAUUCGAGUCUGGAAUAUUUGAAUUAAAUUCUGCUUUGUGAGUAGCAAAUGCAUACCAAAUAAGCAAUGAAGGGUUUAGCCUAGCUUGGUUGCAUAUUGUAAAUCUGCAGAAUUUUGUUUGGCCAGCUACACCGAACUGGUACUUCUUUGAAUGUCUUUUAGUGUGUGUCGCUUCUGCUUGGUAUUAGUUCAUUACUAAGCUUUUGUUUAAUCAAUAUCCUAGAGUCAUUCCAAACCAAUUUCUUUUGUUUUUCUUCUAAACUGCAGAACUAAGUUGUUCAAACAUUUGUAAAUCGCUGUUUUGAUCCAAGAUGAAAGUAAAGCAUGUUAGUUGAGAAAAUCAGUCAAAAGAGGCAAAUCCUGAAAAGAAAAAUGAGGAACUGAAUAUUUUAAUUUGAGUAAAAGCCUAUGAAAGGGUGUAAAAUGGCCUUGCGUGAUCAAAACAAGCAUAAAUAAACUUGCUCCAUUGGAUUUCAGUAUGCAAAGGUGUCCAGAACUGAAAAUGCUAACAUUAGCUAAUGGACCAGUUCACUUUUUGCUUCUGAAAUUCUGAUUUCAACAACCAGUUCUGUGAUUUCUUGUUGUGUCUUUUCUUGUCUUUAAAAUCUGUUCUAGUGCUAUUCUUUAGGUUCUAUUUGCUGUGCUUAUUUUCUUGAUAGCUUUGAUUUUUGUUUGCUUGUCAAUUGUUUGGCUAUCUUGGUUUUGUCCAAUACACGUGUAAGUCUGUUCAGCUGUUCAUAAUUGAAGCUUUUCUUUGCUUUAUGAUCUAAUCUAAAGUCUGAUCUAGAGCCUCUUGAAUUGGAUUGCUGUCCUGAUUCUGUAUUGCCUGCCUUUACUUAGCAUAGCCAAUCUAGUUUGAGAAGCAUGUUCACUCUUUGGUUUUUGGAAUUUGGAAAGGGGUUUGUGUGCUUGGUAGCAUCUUAGGUGGUGGUGGUCUAAAAGACUCUCCAGCCCUGAACUAACAAGGGGGAAUCUCCCUUCCAACCCUUUCUAUUUUGAGUGCUUUGAGCUUCCAGAGUUGAACUUGUUGUUGUGAGCUUUGUGUGGAUGCAAUUAAAGUCAAUAUAUUUGUUGAGAGCGUGUUUUAUUCAAUUUCUUGAAUCUGAAUUUUGCUGACCAACUAGAAUUGCAUAGUUUUGGCUUUGAUUGUCAUUCACAAGUGGUGCUUAGAAGAAGUGAGUUACAAUUAGCUACAGCAGUGUAAAAAGUUGAGCCAGAAAUCUCAUGUUGGAUAAAGAGGAGUCACAAACACUUGCUGUAGUAACACUGAUGAGUAUACCAGAACCCUCACUGGGAUCAGUUUGGAACAUCAACAGAUGCUAGCUUAAGCCAACAGAGGCAGAAACACUUCACGUGGUAGUGUUGAACUAAAGGGAGUCUUUUAUCUUAAAUUGUUUCUGUUUUUGGUUGAAUUAGUCCUGUUGUAGCUGCCAUUGUUUAGCAUUUCUUGAAGUGUGGAAUCUGGUAUGAUAUUUGUUGCAGACUAGGAUUAGCCAACUUGAAUUUUGAAUUGAAUCUCUUCUACAUUGUAUGGCAUUAAUUUGGUUUCAACCCUGAAUCACAUUCAUUUGCAUCUGGCUAAAGGUACGUGUUCCUUGUGUAUGUGCUGCUGGCUUAGGUGUGAUCUGUGUGUAGAGAUGAAUUGUUGGGAUAAUUAGUUUGAGUUGGUUGUUAAGCAAAUUUCAGUUUUGUCAAAUUGAUUGAUUGAAUACCAUUGCAUGCCACCUAGUUCUCUGUGUUAGCUGUGCAUGAAAUAAUUAAGUAUCUGCUGUUUGGAUCAAAACUGAUUUCAUGACUUAAGAAUAAUUUCUGAAUUGAAAAAAAAAACUGACUGGUUUGGUAGUUUAAUCUGCACCAUAAAUCUGGCAUGAUUUACAUUUUCCUUUGCGUUAGUUGGAUGAUGCUGUCACUUUAAGUGCAGAUUGAUUUGUUGAAAUUUAGUUUGAGACCAUUCAUAGAGAGCAGAAGCAAUUCUUUUAGCUGCAUCAAGGCAAAAGACCGAGAAAUGGAGGUGUGAUUGCAGGAUAUCCAACAGCAACAGAUUGAAGCUGCAAGAUUGAGCACGAGAUUCUGGAAAGCAUUGGGCAAGAUCUGGGCACAAAAUAGUUGGACCGUAGCUUAGGAUUGAAUGUUUUGUAAUUUUUUAUUUUUCUGUGUAUUUGAUGGGCUUGUGUCAGCCCAAUGUCUUUGUUAGUUUUAUUUUCNAUGGGCUUGUGUCAGCCCAAUGUCUUUGUUAGUUUUAUUUUCUGGUUUGUAAAGGGCCUUUUAUAAAGUCCAAGUAUUUGGAAGAGUCCUUGGUGUUCUUUUCAGAUCUUGGCAACUUUAAUUGUUUUAAUUGUAGCAUAGCGAGACAUAGGAGUAUGCAUGUGUUUGAUUUUCACGUGUAGAGUCCGUAUGUUUUUAGGGGUCUUAGAGUCCGUGUUCUUUGUUUGUUUCUUUUGAGUCUUGUACUUUGAUUUUAAAAGUAAUUUUACUUUAAAGGAUGUCUAGGAUUAGUGAGUCUGAGAAGCAAUAUCUUCUUAAGAAACUAAUGAAACAAAUUGGGAAUAUUAAAGAAAGCUUGAAUCAAGAUAGGUUUAAUAGGGAG